rnacentral:rRNA from 1 species
CAGGUCUAUGGCGGAUGCCUGGGAGCUGCAAGGCGAAGAAGGUCGUGAUAAGCUGCGAAAAGCUGCGGUGAGGAGCACAUAUCCGUUGACCCGCAGAUGACCGAAUGGGGUAACCCACCAUGCGAAUGGUAUCUGGAUGGCUGAAUAAAAUAGGCCACAGAGGCGACACUGGGUGAAGUGAACCAUCUAAGUAACCCGGGAAAAGAAAUCAAUAGAGAUUCCCCAAGUAGCGGCGAGCGAACGGGGAGAAGCCCAAACCGCUAUAAGCGGGGUUGUAGGACUGCGACGUGAGUUUGUAAAAACCGAAAGGUAGGAGAACCGCAUGGAAAGGCGGGCCGUAGCGCGUGAGAGCCGCGUAUCCGAAACCGGACGGACUCUAGCAGAAUCCUGAGUACGGCGGGGCACGGGAAACCCAGCCGGAAUCCGGGUCGACCACGAUCCAAGGCUAAAUACUAGGCAGCUACCGAUAGCGGAGAAGUACCGUGAGGGAAAGGCGAAAAGAACCCCGGCGAGGGGAGUGAAAUAGAACCUGAAACCAUAGACUGACAAGAUGUCACAGCCCGCGAGGGUGGUGGCGUGUCUUUUGUAGAAUAAACCUGCGAGUUACGGUAUGCAGCGAGGUUAAGGGAUGGGAGUCCCGGAGCCGGAGCGAAAGCGAGUCUGAACAGGGCGCUAAGUUGCAUGCCGUAGACCCGAAGCCAAGGUGAUCUUAUCAUGGGCAGGCUGAAGGCAGGGUAAAACCUGUUGGAGGGCCGAACAGUAAUCUGUUAAAAAAGGUAGUGAUGACCUGUGAUAAGGAGUGAAAGGCUAAACAAACCUGGAGAUAGCUGGCUCUCCCCGAAAUGCCUUUAGGGACAGCCUCAUACAAAGAUGCCGGAGGUAAAGCACUGGAUGGGAGCGGGGAUGUCAAAGUCUACCAAUUCCAAUCAAACUCUGAAUGCCGGCAUCCAACGUAUGGGAGUGAGACUGUGUGCGCCAAGGUUCAUAGUCAAGAGGGAAACAGCCCAAACCGUCAGCUAAGGUCCCGAAAUAGUGCUAAGUGUUAAAUGAAGUCCGGAUGCACAGACAGCCAGGAGGUUGGCUCAGAAGCAGCCAUUCCUUGAAAGAGUGCGUAACAGCUCACUGGUCGAGCAUGCGGGCGCAGACAAUGUAACGGGGCUAAGCAUUAUACCGAAGCUGCGGAUCUUGCGCGAAUGCGCAAGGUGGUAGGGGAGCAUGCCGUCAACCGGCGAAGGCGGACCCGCGAGGGCCGCUGGAGGAAACGGCAGAGAGAAUGCAGGCAUAAGUAACGAAAAGACGGGUGUGAUUCCCGUCCGCCGAAAACAUAAGGUUUCCAGGGUAAAGGCAAUCUGCCCUGGGUAAGUCGGAGCCUAAGUCCAGGCCGAAAGGCGUAGGCGAUGGUAAUCCGGUUCAAAAUCCGGAACCUCCGGCAUUUCGAUGCCACGACGCAUGAGGCGACGUCCGGCGGGAGAACGGUAGUUCCCGUCCAAGCAUUGAGCCGUCAAGGGAGGGGGUUAAAUGAUCCUCCCAGGCGAGAUGUGACAGCGAGCUGAGAGAAAGUCGAAGCGAAGCGGGCAGAGUCAAGGUGCCGAGAAAGAGUGGCUAGGCAAGGUGCCGGAGUCCGUACCGUAAACGGACACACGUAUGUAGGAUGAGUAAUCUAAGGCGCUCGAGCGACCUCGCGUUAAGGAACUCGGCAAAAUGCGCACGUAACUUCGGAAGAAGUGCGGCUCCUGUUUGAAAGGAUAAGGAGCGGCAGAAAGCAGGCCCAGGCGACUGUUUAUCAAAAACACAGCCAUCUGCGAACCAGCAAUGGGACGUAUAGGUGGUGACACCUGCCCGGUGCCGGAAGGUUAAGGGGAGAAGUCAGCCGCAAGGCGAAGCCUCGAACCGAAGCCCCGGUAAACGGCGGCCGUAACUAUAACGGUCCUAAGGUAGCGAAAUUCCUUGUCGGGUAAGUUCCGACCCGCACGAAUGGUGUAACGAUUCUGGGCACUGUCUCAACGCGAGACUCGGUGAAAUUUAUAUUCCGGUAAAGAAGCCGGAUACUCAUAAUUAGACGGAAAGACCCCGUGAACCUUCACCGUAACUUAGCAUGGGGAUCCUAUUCAUCAUGUGUAGGAUAGCUGGGAGCCAGCGAGGCGUGGCCGUCAGGCUGCGCGGAGGCGCCGGUGAAAUACCAGCCCUGAUGAAUGGGAUUUCUAACCCUGGCCCUGAAGCGGGUCCGGGGACAAUGCUAGGCAGGCGGUUUGACUGGGGCGGUCGCCUCCCAAAGAGUAACGGAGGUGCGCGAAGGUCUCCUCACCGCGGUUGGAAAUCGCGGCGCGAGUGUAAAGGCACAAGGAGGCUUGACUGCGAGGGCAACAACCCGAGCAGGUGCGAAAGCAGGUCUUAAUGAUCUGAUGGUUCCGAGUGGAAGGGCCAUCACUUAACGGACAAAAGGUACUCCGGGGAUAACAGGCUGAUUUUCCCCAAGAGUUCACAUCGACGGGAAAGUUUGGCACCUCGAUGUCGGCUCAUCGCAUCCUGGGGCUGGAGCAGGUCCCAAGGGUUUGGCUGUUCGCCAAUUAAAGCGGUACGUGAGCUGGGUUCAGAACGUCGCGAGACAGUUCGGUCCCUAUCUGUUAUGAGCGAAGGAGAUUUGAGAGGAGCUGCCUUUAGUACGAGAGGACCGAGGUGGACGAACCUCUGGUGUGCCGGUUGUCCUGCCAAGGGCAAGCGCCGGGUAUCUAAGUUCGGAAGGGAUAACCGCUGAAAGCAUCUAAGCGGGAAGCCCACCUCAAGACAAGAUCUCCCCGGGGAUUAAUCCCCCUGAAGACUCCGGAGACACUAUCCGGUCGAUAGGAUGCAGGUGCAAGCGCGGCGACGCGUUCAGCCGAGCAUUACUAAUAAGUCGUGAGGCUUGACC